rnacentral:tmRNA from 1 species
GGGGAUGAUCGGCCUCGACAGGAAUUUUGACUAAAAUAUGCAAACCGAGCCGCUAAAAUCUCGUUAAACUUUUGGCAAACAAAUAAGUGCAAAAACUUAUUUACCAACUCCCGCUUUAGCAUACGCUUAAACGGGGCGUCCGCUCCGCCGAUUCCCGAUAAGCGGGAACGGAUGUCAUUCAUCGGGAUAGGCGAUUUUAUUUGAUUCGGGGAAAAUUGCCGAAAAUCAACCGCAUCAAAGUUAAAAAGAUUUUGUCCGGUUUUUACUUUUUAACUUAUUAAAAUCGGAACAAGUUUGUAGAAUUAUUUUAGGAUGAUUUUUGCACGCGGGUUCGAUUCCCGCCAUCUCCACA